UACGUAGGCAGCGAGCGUUGUUCGGAAUUACUGGGCGUAAAGAGUGCGUAGGUGGUUGUCUAAGUUUGGUGUGAAAUCUCCCGGCUUAACUGGGAGGGUGCGCCGAAAACUGGUCAGCUAGAGUGUGGGAGAGGGACGUGGAAUUCCUGGUGUAGCGGUGAAAUGCGUAGAUAUCAGGAGGAACACCUGAGGUGUAGACGGCGUCCUGGACCAUUACUGACACUGAGGCACGAAAGCGUGGGUAGCAAACAGG
rnacentral:rRNA from 1 species